rnacentral:rRNA from 1 species
CAGCAGCCGCGGGAAAACGAAGGGGGCUAGCGUUGCUCGGAAUGACUGGGCGUAAAGGGCGCGUAGGCGGCGGCCAAAGUCAGGCGUGAAAUUCCCGGGCUCAACCUGGGGGCUGCGUUUGAUACUUGGUUGCUUGAGUGGGGAAGAGGGUCGUGGAAUUCCCAGUGUAGAAGUGAAAUUCGUAGAUAUUGGGAAGAACACCGGUGGCGAAGGCGGCGACCUGGUCCUUUACUGACGCUGAGGCGCGAAAGCGUGGGGAGCAAACAGGAUUAGAUACCCCCGUAGUCCCUGUCUCUUAUAC